GACGAACGCUGGCGGCGUGCUUAACACAUGCCAGUCGAACGGAAAGGCCCUGCUUUUGUGGGGUGCUCGAGUGGCGAACGGGUGAGUAACACGUGAGUAACCUGCCCUUGACUUUGGGAUAACUUCAGGAAACUGGGGCUAUUACCGGAUAGGAGCUCCUGCUGCAUGUUGGGGGUUGGAAAGUUUCGGCGGUUGGGGAUGGACUCGCGGCUUAUCAGCUUGUUGGUGGGGUAGUGGCUUACCAAGGCUUUGACGGGUAGCCGGCCUGAGAGGGUGACCGGCCACAUUGGGACUGAGAUACGGCCCAGACUCCUACGGGAGGCAGCAGUGGGGAAUAUUGCACAAUGGGCGGAAGCCUGAUGCAGCAACGCCGCGUGCGGGAUGACGGCCUUCGGGUUGUAAACCGCUUUCGCCUGUGACGAAGCGUGAGUGACGGUAAUGGGUAAAGAAGCACCGGCUAACUACGUG
rnacentral:rRNA from 1 species